AUACGGAGGAUGCGAGCGUUAUCCGGAUUUAUUGGGUUUAAAGGGAGCGUAGGUGGGAUAUUAAGUCAGCUGUGAAAGUUUGGGGCUCAACCUUAAAAUUGCAGUUGAUACUGGUUUCCUUGAGUACGGUACAGGUGGGCGGAAUUCGUGGUGUAGCGGUGAAAUGCUUAGAUAUCACGAAGAACUCCGAUCGCGAAGGCAGCUCACCGGGCCGGAACUGACACUGAUGCUCGAAAGUGCAGGUAUCAAACAGGAUUAGAUACCCUGGUAGUCCGCACAGUAAACGAUGAAUACUCGCUGUUUGCGAUACACGGUAAGCGGCCAAGCGAAAGCGUUAAGUAUUCCACCUGGGGAGUACGCCGGCAACGGUGAAACUCAAAGGAAUUGACGGGG
rnacentral:rRNA from 1 species